rnacentral:rRNA from 1 species
UACGUAGGGGGCGAGCGUUGUCCGGAUUUAUUGGGCGUAAAGAGCGUGUAGGCGGCCAGGUAGGUCUGCUGUGAAAACUCGAGGCUCAACCUCGAGACGUCGGCGGAAACCAUCUGGCUAGAGUCCGGAAGAGGAGAGUGGAAUUCCACGUGUAGCGGUGAGAUGCGUAGAGAUGUGGAGGAACACCAGUGGCGAAGGCGACUCUUUGGUCUGUAACUGACGCUGAGGCGCGAAAGCGUGGGGAGCAAACAGG